rnacentral:lncRNA from 1 species
GGAGGGAAGACCGGGAUGUGUCUGCGGCUGUGUAGAGCUGGAGGUCGGUGUGGCUUUUUCCAUGCCGAAGUUCCAGCAACCUGCUGGCAAGAUUGCUGUGAGCCAUGGUCUGAGUCUCAGAGAUGACUUUUCACACCAUCAAGGCCACUUUCUCAGCUUAUUGACAGCUUUAUGAGCGCUGUUGGAAAAGCCCCAGCUUCCUUCGUUCCUCGGCUCCGGCUUUCCGUCGGGCGAGAGCGACAGCUGGCUGGGGUUGGGGCACAGGAUGGAGCUGUUACUUUCCCUGCUCAGAAGGGGGCAAUCAGCAAAACCUCAGGGCUCCAAGGGACACGAGAGUCUUGCUUUACACGUGCACAGAGCAGCCUUGGAAGGAGUGAAAUGAAGAACUGGCAAGGAAAAUUGAAGGUGUUGUGCUGUCCCGAGCAUGCAGGC